rnacentral:lncRNA from 1 species
GCGGGCUCGGCCGCAGCCCCCGGGCCGUGAGGCGGUGGCAGCCGGGCCCCCACCGCCGACAGGGCGGCCGGCAGGGCCCCCUUGAUGAUCCUUAGGGUCAGCUCUCACAGGUUCUGUGAUGUGCUGGGCAGAUUCAGCCACGCCAGCCUCUGCCCAGUCCAUCUGCCUCACAGCUCUGGCACAGAGUUCACCCCAUGGCAAGAGAAAGCCAGAACGGAGCUGCAUCUUUCAGUUCGUGUCCUCAGUGGAGCAAAGGAUUUUUGUCUUUUUACCCUGAAAACUGCUAGCAGUGAUGCUGGAGGUGACCACUGGCCUCACGUUGGAGCGAUGGAGAACAGAGAAUUGUCCUUCAGAGAAGUGACCUGCAAAAGCGAACUGGUUAAACUCCUGCUCUGGGCAGAGCUGCUUUACACCAUGCUCCUUCCACUCAACCUGCUUUGUUCAAGAGUUUAAAUUUAGACCGCUUAAGAGGAAAAAACAUUUAAAGAAAAUCCCACAGGUUUCUAGCAGUCAGGUGUCAGCGUUUUGUUUUCAUUUUUGUGGUUUUUAACCCAUAUCAUUUCACACAACUGUCCCAACAAGCAGUCUUAAAUAGUUAAAUAUGACUAAAGGAAGAGAUCAUUGUGUUGCAAAUAUCAACAGGGAAAAAUUUUCCUGAAAGAUUGUUAUGCCUUUUUUCUGCCACUUGCAAUUUCCAACUGUGCUAGGUAUUUGUAAGGGUAAGAGACUAAGGAGUGAGUGAAAGAGAUUAAAAAAUGUACAAGAACAUCAGGAAAUAAGAUUGUCUUCUGAGCAUGGAGCUGAUCUGAGUGGGAUGUGGUCAGUGGAAGGAGCAAUGCUAGGGACAGCGAGCACCGAGGACGGACAGUGGGUCAGGUAUGGGCUUGCACAAGAGCGCUGCGGGAACAAGAGCAGCACUUUAAUUUGAGGUUUUGCGUGGAGAAACAUCACCUCUCCCUGUGAAUCAGAAAGGCUAGAGAGGAGUUUUAGGCUUAGCAAAUCCUUCGCCUGACUUCCUUACCGAGGAGCGCUGAUUCCCCGUACCAGACGCAGGAACUGGGCCGCAGACUCCCAGGAGCGAAGCACGACCCAGCCCAAGGCUGGCUGCUACCAGGACAGCUCGCCCAGGGCUAGCAGAGCCCAGGGGCUGCGUGCCAGGCGCUGGCCACCCGCUCGCCCUUCUGAGCUUCCCCGCCUGGGAGCAGCCCGCACCAUCGCGCUUCGCCCUAAAUCACAUCCCACUUCGGGCUGCGGAUUCACGCGAUUUUUGACAACCCUCGCUUACCAAAAACCUUUCCCCAAGCCCCAGGGCGACAAGCCCGCAGUGCCGCUGCCUCCCUUCCCUCCGCGACCACCCCCCCCCCAGAGCGGCAGCGGCACGACGGGGACCCGACCUUCCCCAAACCCCCCCCGACCGCCCCUAUACCCCCCCUUCAUCCCCCACACACCUCCCCCGGCCCCCUUCGUGCCCCCGGCCGCCGGGCGGAGCCCUCCCCGGGGCACCCCACAGCCCGGCCGCCCCUCGCCCUGCCUCCGCCCCGACGGGGCGGCCGCGGCCGGCGCCGCCCCACAGCCGGGCCGCCGGGCUUAUAUAGGGCGGCGGGGAGCG